rnacentral:rRNA from 1 species
UACGGGGGGGGCAAGCGUUGUUCGGAUUUACUGGGCGUAAAGGGCGCGUAGGCGGCCACCGCAAGUCGGUUGUGAAAUCUCUGGGCUUAACCCAGAAAGGUCAACCGAUACUGCGGGGCUAGAGUGCAGAAGGGGCAACUGGAAUUCUCGGUGUAGCGGUGAAAUGCGCAGAUAUCAGGAGGAACACCGGUGGCGAAGGCGGUUCUCUGGGCCUGUACUGACGCUGAGGAACGAAAGCGUGGGGAGCGAACAGG